UGGGGAAUUUUGGACAAUGGGCGCAAGCCUGAUCCAGCCAUGCCGCGUGCGGGAAGAAGGCCUUCGGGUUGUAAACCGCUUUUGUCAGGGAAGAAAUCUUCUGAGUUAAUACCUCGGGAGGAUGACGGUACCUGAAGAAUAAGCACCGGCUAACUACGUGCCAGCAGCCGCGGUAAUACGUAGGGUGCAAGCGUUAAUCGGAAUUACUGGGCGUAAAGCGUGCGCAGGCGGUUUUGUAAGGCAGAGGUGAAAUCCCCGGGCUCAACCUGGGAACUGCCUUUGUGACUGCAAGGCUUGAGUGCGGCAGAGGGGGGAUGGAAUUCCGCGUGUAGCAGUGAAAUGCGUAGAUAUGCGGAGGAACACCGAUGGCGAAGGCAAAUCCCCCUGGGCCUGCACUGACGCUCAUGCACGAAAGCGUGGGGAGCAAACAGGAUUAGAUACCCUGGUAGUCCACGCCCUAAACGAUGUCAACUGGUUGUUGGGAAGGUUCCUUCUCAGUAACGUAGCUAACGCGUGAAGUUGACCGCCUGGGGAGUACGGCCGCAAGGUUGAAACUUAAAUGAAUUGACGGGGUCAUAGCUGUUUCCUG
rnacentral:rRNA from 1 species